CCUACGGGAGGCAGCAGUGGGGAAUCUUCCGCAAUGGGCGAAAGCCUGACGGAGCAACGCCGCGUGAUCGAAUGAAGGCCUCCGGGUUGUAAAGAUCUGUUGACAGGGACAAAUAAGCCAUGCGAAUAGAUUGGUGUAUGACGGUACCUGUUUAGAAAGCUCCGGCUAACUACGUGCCAGCAGCCGCGGUAAUACGUAGGGAGCAAGCGUUGUCCGGAAUUACUGGGCGUAAAGGGCGCGUAGGUGGGUGCGUAAGUCAGUAGUGAAAACUCUGGGCUCAACCUGGAGACUGCACUUGAAACUGGGUAUCUUGAGUGCAGGAGAGGAAAGUGGAAUUCCUAGUGUAGCGGUGAAAUGCGUAGAUAUUAGGAGGAACACCAGUGGCGAAGGCGACUUUCUGGACUGUACCUGACGCUGAGGCGCGAAAGCGUGGGUAGCGAACAGGAUUAGAUACCCUGGUAGUA
rnacentral:rRNA from 1 species